rnacentral:rRNA from 1 species
UACCCGCAGCCCGAGUGGUGGUCGAUUUUAUUGAGUCUAAAACGUUCGUAGCCGGUCUAGUAAAUCUCUGGGUAAAUCGGGUGGCUCAACUAUCCGAAUUCCGGAGAGACUGUUAGACUUGGGAUCGGGAGAGGUAAGAGGUACUUCAGGGGUAGGGGUAAAAUCCUGUAAUCCUUGGAGGACCACCGGUGGCGAAGGCGUCUUACUAGAACGAAUCCGACGGUGAGGGACGAAGCCCUAGGUCGCAAAC